rnacentral:rRNA from 1 species
UGAGGAAUAUUGGUCAAUGGGCGGGAGCCUGAACCAGCCAAGCCGCGUGAGGGAAGAAGGCCCUAUGGGUCGUAAACCUCUUUUGUCAGGGAACAAAAGCGAGUAUGUAUACUAGUCUGAGUGUACCUGAAGAAAAAGCAUCGGCUAACUCCGUGCCAGCAGCCGCGGUAAUACGGAGGAUGCGAGCGUUAUCCGGAUUUAUUGGGUUUAAAGGGUGCGUAGGCGGCGAUGCAAGUCAGCGGUAAAAGCCCGGGGCUCAACCCCGGCGAGCCGUUGAAACUGCAGUGCUAGAGAAGGCGAGAGGUACGCGGAAUGCGCAGUGUAGCGGUGAAAUGCUUAGAUAUUGCGCAGAACUCCGAUUGCGAAGGCAGCGUACUGGCGCCUGACUGACGCUGAGGCUCGAAAGUAUGGGUAGCAAACAGGAUUAGAUACCC